rnacentral:piRNA from 1 species
UUCUGUUGCCUGAGGUGUAUUCAU